rnacentral:lncRNA from 1 species
CUGAGGAGUCCAAGGAGGAUAUGGGCUUUGGUCUUUUUGACUAAACCUCUUUUGUAACAAGUUCAAUAAAAAGCUGAACUCUUAAAAAAAAUUCUUUGAAAACUCUCUCUUCAAAAGUUGGAGACUAUGUUUCUCCUUGAGUGUCACUCACUCUGGCAGAAGCCAGCAGAGCAAGCAGAUAGAUGAGGACAUUCAGCAAUAAUAUGGAGCGGUCCAUGUGUGGAGAAGCUGAGGCCACCCGCCCCCGGCCUUGUAUGUAAGCCACCUUUCAGAUCUGGUUGAGUCUUGAGAUGACUGGAGCUCUAGUGGACAGCUUGACUGCAAUCUCAUGAGCGGUCCUGAGCAGGGACCACCCAGCUGUGCUGCUGCCAAAUUCCUGACCCAAGAAUCCAUGUGAUAUGAUAAAUGUUUGUUGUUGUUUCAUGCUGCUAAUUCAUUAUGCAGCAAUAGAUAAUGAAUACAACAGGUGAUUUUGAUGCAGGUGCUCUGAACACAUUUUGUGAAAUGGACUCAGCCAAUAAAAGCACUGAGAACCUACACCUG